UUUGUCUUACGUGUCUUAAACAUUUUGUUUUAGUUAUUUAAUACCUUGAACUAAUAAUAAGAUUAUACAUAUAUAUAUUUAAAUUUUAUGUAUAAUGAAAGAUUCUUUGAAACAUGCAAACAUAUUGCAUAUUUCGGCAGAUAAUCUUCAAAACAUGAGUGUUUUUUAUCAACUGCUAUGCUACAUAUGUAUACAUGUAUAAUCGAAGCGUUAACUACUUAGAUAACACGAGACCUAAAUGUCAAAUAAGAAAAAACAUAAAAGUUAUGUAGGAAAUUAUUAUAACAAAUUGCGUGUAAUAUUAUAAUAUGAACUUGUGUGUUAAUUCAUAAAAAAAUAAACAAGUACAAUCUAAAAGUAGUGAUUACAAUUCGACGAGAUGUAAGACUAGAAUUUCCAGUUGUACACGACGAAAAAAAAAGACGGAGAGAGGGAUUGCAAACAAUUUUGCGGUUUGGUCGACAAAUCAUCGACAGUUCGUCAUGACGACAAAUCACGGAUAGAUAAUACCGACGCUGGACAAUCCUAUUUAAUCAGCUUGCUUUAGUUUUCAUUGAUUGAGACCUCGUGUCUUAUCGUAAAGAGAUUCGUGAAACGGUAAAAGUGCUGCUUAACUGAUAAUGAUGAAUUGGGCGUGAACAUUUCACCAGCUUCUUUUUAAAUCUUCCUUUAGCUUCAUUUUAAUGUACGCCAGUGACGUAUCGAAGAUUUCCUUCUCCAACCGUGUGUGCUAACGACUGUCACGUCCUUCGUGAAACUCGUUGAACGUCACAAAGCAGUGACGUAGAGUUGUGAAACGACGUGAGACGAAGCGAAGACGGUGAACGAAGCGAUAGGAUGUUAAUAUUAGUCGAAUCGUUUACGAAUUUCGACGCGUCGGAUUACGUCUAAUUUUUUUUUAUGUGACAUACAUUUUUA